AUGUGGCCUGCACCAGUGCUUCUGCUCGUCCAGUCGGCUCUGCUGAUUCAAGGAUCUUCCGCCCAGGAUUCUCAGAUCCAGACGGACAAAAUCAAGUAUGUCAGUCUUGGUGGGACUUUGACCAUCAGCGCCAAAGGGAACUCAAACACUGGUGCUACUCUCAGUUGGUACCAAGUGAAACCUGGACAGGUUCCUAAACUUCUGAUCUAUGGUGCAACAAGUCGCUUUACUGGAACACCACCUCGAUUCAGUGGCACACGAUCUGGCUCUGACUACACUCUGACUAUCACUGGUGUUCAGGCAGAAGAUGUCGCUGAUUACUACUGUUUUGCCUAUUUUGGAGAUGGAAGGGAAGUGAAAGUGGAAGAUGAUGAUGACUGGUCCACUGAACAAAGAUCACCAAGCAGAACCAGCGUCAAUCUGAACAAGUUGAUUGACUUGUAA